GGAAAACAGGGUACGGGAGCAUGCUAGAAAACUUUUGGAGAAGCACAUAAAGAAACCUUUUUUUGAUGUGAGAUAUGGGGAAUCUGUUGAACGGAUGAGCGCUCAGGAGUUUGAAGAGGGAAAACAAUGGCUCAGUGAUACAUUUUUCCUCAUAAGGUGUGAGAAUGAUUGCCUGCCGAAUAUUGACUGGGUUCUCUCGCUUGCAAAAGCUGCAGUUUUAAGACAUGGGGUGAAUGGACUUGUAAUUGACCCAUACAAUGAACUUGAUCAUCAACGUCCUUCAAGCCAGACCGAAACAGAGUAUGUCAGCCAGAUGCUGACGAAGAUAAAACGGUUUGCACAACACCAUUCAUGUCAU
rnacentral:misc_RNA from 1 species